UUGUCCGGAAUUACUGGGUGUAAAGGGAGUGUAGGCGGGAAGGCAAGUCAGAAGUGAAAAUUAUGGGCUUAACCCAUAACCUGCUUUUGAAACUGUUUUUCUUGAGUGAGGCAGAGGCAAGUGGAAUUCCUAGUGUAGCGGUGAAAUGCGUAGAUAUUAGGAGGAACACCAGUGGCGAAGGCGGCUUGCUGGGCCUUUACUGACGCUGAGGCACGAAAGCGUGGGUAGCAAACAGGAUUAGAUACCCUGGUAGUCCACGCUGUAAACGAUGAUUACUAGGUGUGGGGGGUCUGACCCCUUCCGUGCCGGAGUUAACACAAUAAGUAAUCCACCUGGGGAGUACGGCCGCAAGGUUGAAACUCAAAGGAAUUGACGGGGGCCCGCACAAGCAGUGGAGUAUGUGGUUUAAUUC
rnacentral:rRNA from 1 species